rnacentral:rRNA from 1 species
AGAGUUUGAUCCUGGCUCAGAUUGAACGCUGGCGGCAGGCCUAACACAUGCAAGUCGAGCGGAUGAUGGGAGCUUGCUCCCGGAUUCAGCGGCGGACGGGUGAGUAAUGCCUAGGAAUCUGCCUGGUAGUGGGGGACAACGUUUCGAAAGGAACGCUAAUACCGCAUACGUCCUACGGGAGAAAGCAGGGGACCUUCGGGCCUUGCGCUAUCAGAUGAGCCUAGGUCGGAUUAGCUAGUUGGUGGGGUAAAGGCCUACCAAGGCGACGAUCCGUAACUGGUCUGAGAGGAUGAUCAGUCACACUGGAACUGAGACACGGUCCAGACUCCUACGGGAGGCAGCAGUGGGGAAUAUUGGACAAUGGGCGAAAGCCUGAUCCAGCCAUGCCGCGUGUGUGAAGAAGGUCUUCGGAUUGUAAAGCACUUUAAGUUGGGAGGAAGGGCAGUAAGUUAAUACCU